UCCCUGGUGGUCUAGUGGUUAGGACUCUGCACUUUCACUGCCAUGGCCCGGGUUCAACUCUGGUCGGGGAA
rnacentral:tRNA from 1 species